rnacentral:lncRNA from 1 species
UAAUGAUUUGCUUUAUUACCAGUUUCCUGAUCCCCCCUUCAAAUGGAACAAGAACCUGUAUUUCUGCAACUGUAUUUUCAUUUGUCUUCAGUCACCUUUAAUCGAUGAGUCAGCAGGUUUGCUGUGUCUGCUGGUCAGAGCCCAGAACUCGGCUUCUGAAACGUGGGAAGGCAGUCUCCAGUUGAGCCCACUCAACAGGCAAAGAGAGACACAUCCCUCUCCUACACUGUGAAACAGCCCCUCCUAACAGAGCAAAAAUGCUUCUGGAAAAAAAAGAACUGCAGUUUGCAAAAUUGAAUCUGGGACUUUUGUGAACGUUAGGACUGAAAAGAGAAGAGAAGGAGGCAUUAUCCAUUUCAGCUCUUCGUCAAGAGAACAGCCCUGGGCUGCAUUCCUCAAAGAAGACCACUUUUUGGCACGGGGUACAAAAGCUGAUGGCAGGACCCCUGAGCCCAGCAAGAGGAUACCAGUGGUGAAGCACACAUAUGCAGCACCAGCCUCACAACAGCUGCAGCUUUAGACAACAGCAAAGACCACCAGUUUUAAUGCCAGGUUACCCAACUGAAGGUGGGCAAGGAUGCAUUUCUAAGAAGGCUUCCCGGAAAGAGACACAGCUGUAAG